rnacentral:rRNA from 1 species
UACGUAGGUGGCAAGCGUUGUCCGGAAUUAUUGGGCGUAAAGCGCGCGCAGGCGGUCCUUUAAGUCUGAUGUGAAAGCCCACGGCUCAACCGUGGAGGGUCAUUGGAAACUGGGGGACUUGAGUGCAGAAGAGGAAAGCGGAAUUCCACGUGUAGCGGUGAAAUGCGUAGAGAUGUGGAGGAACACCAGUGGCGAAGGCGGCUUUCUGGUCUGUAACUGACGCUGAUGCGCGAAAGCCAGGGGAGCAAACGGG